rnacentral:lncRNA from 1 species
UUUUUAAUCUUAUUUUUCUUAUAACAAUUUAUGUCCAAGUGACCUUUAAUACCACAAUUUUUGCAUGUUGUGAAAGGAGAACAAUAAUUCAAUUUGAAACGUGACUUGGAUCUAAGUAUAUUACCAGUUUUAUGAGUGGGAUUAUAACCUAUUCCUUGUCUAUCAAAACUAGGUUUUUGCUUUCCUAACAUUACAGUUAAAUUUUCUUCUCCUUGAACGAAUCUAGCAAGAGAUAUUUUCAACGAAUCUACUUCCUUUUGAAGUUCAUUAUCAUGAAUAGGUUUAGAU